rnacentral:rRNA from 1 species
AUUGAACGCUGGCGGCAGGCCUAACACAUGCAAGUCGAGCGGAUGAAGGGAGCUUGCUCCUGGAUUCAGCGGCGGACGGGUGAGUAAUGCCUAGGAAUCUGCCUGGUAGUGGGGGAUAACGUCCGGAAACGGGCGCUAAUACCGCAUACGUCCUGAGGAAGAAAGUGGGGGAUCUUCGGACCUCACGCUAUCAGAUGAGCCUAGGUCGGAUUAGCUAGUUGGUGGGGUAAAGGCCUACCAAGGCGACGAUCCGUAACUGGUCUGAGAGGAUGAUCAGUCACCCUGGAACUGAAACACGGACCAGACUCCUAAGGGAGGCAGCAGUGGGGAAUAUUGGACAAUGGGCGAAAGCCUGGUCCAGCCAGGCCGCGUGUGUGAAGAAGGUCUUCGGAUUGUAAAGCACUUUAAGUUGGGAGGAAGGGCAGUAAGUUAAUACCUUGCUGUUUUGACGUUACCAACAGAAUAAGCACCGGCUAACUUCGUG